AAGACUGUAUUUUCAGGGGUCAUUUCUAUAGCUCUUUAUUUGGAAAAGUGUUUUGAAAGCUGUGACGAGCUGUGAUACUCAUUUCUGAAUCAAAGAUGGAGUUCUUGCAAGUUCUGUCAUUGAUGAGUGUUUUCUAUUGCUUUUGGCAAUAUUGACGAAAGCAGUAUGGUCUGU
ensembl:snoRNA U3 Small nucleolar RNA U3